rnacentral:rRNA from 1 species
CGCUCUUUGUAUAAUAAUAUAAAAAUUAAUAUUAAUUUCUAAAAUAAAGAGUCGGGCACUGCCCGGUGACACAAUGUGUUAAACGGCUGCGACUGGCACUAAGGUAGCAUAAUCAUUCGCCUUUUAAUUGAAGGCUUGUAUGAAUGGCUUGACGAGAGUCAAUCUGUCUCCUUUUAAAUAUUUAUAAGUUAUCUUAUAGGUGAAGAGUCCUAUAUUCUAUUGAGGGACGAGAAGACCCUAUUGAACUUCAAUGAAGCAGUGACAAUAAAACUUGUUAACACUUUGAUUUUAAGUUAUUUAUUAAUUUUUAGAUAAUUAAUUGAAGCGUAAAACAGUCUACAUAAAGUCAUUUUUAAUUUUUAGGUGGGAGGACUCGGGAAUAAAAAAAACUUCCUUAAAUUAAUAACUACAGUUCAUGUUAGUUUAUAGAUCCAGUACUUGCUGAUUAAUGGAAAAAGUUACCAUAGGGAUAACAGCGUGAUUUUUCUAGAGAGCCCUUAUUGAAAGAAAAGAUUACGACCUCGAUGUUGGAUUAAGAUACCCUAGAGGCGUAGAGGCUUCUAAUGGUUAGUCUGUUCGACUAUUAAAAUCUUACA